rnacentral:tRNA from 1 species
UUUAAUGUGGCAGAAAAGUGCCAUGGAUUUAAGCUCCAUUCAUGGGAGUUUUAACUUCCCAUUAAAA